rnacentral:lncRNA from 1 species
UGAGAAACUAUUGAAUGGUGUUGUUGGGGUUUACAAUUUCAUCUUAUCCACUCUCAUAUAUAUACUCUUCUUAUUUACUUCACUUAUUUAUCUAAUUGUCAUGCACACUUUCUUAUUUACCCUUAACCCAAUCCCUUCGUGAAAAGAGCCUAUUAUUAAUUACCGGCUUGCUAUCCCCAGCCUCCCUUAGUAACCAAUAAUGCAAUGUGAUUAGAAGUAAUUACAAUUGACCGU